AGCUGCGCACCGAGGCGCACCUCCGCGCACCCUCAGGAGGCGGGUCCAGCUCGGUGGCGAGGGGAGCGCGGCCCCCGAGUGGGCGAGGCGCUGGCGGCUGUAGGCUCCGAUACCGCGGAGCACACUCCCCUCCAUCGAGACCGUGCCCCCGCGGGGUCUGUGUCCCCGGGAGGAGUUGGCUGCGUUUGGAGAUCCCUCGGCCUGAGAGCACCAGAUUCUCAAAACAGUAAGUCCUACCACUUGUUCUAUCGUAAAACUUAUUUUGGGCAAGUCACUCAAGCCUUCGAUAGGUAAGAUAGUACCUGAAAGCAUUCCAGCUCAACUCUGCCCCAAGAGGGAGCCACCCCAUGGAAGGACGGAGCUGAGCAACAUGCCACUCAAAGGAAAAGCACUUAGAACCACUCUAAUGCAGACUUUGGAGCCACAUGUGGGUUUGAAUCUCAACUCUACCUGAGUGACCCUGGGCAAGUCACUUCACUUCCCUGAGACUCAAGUUUCAUCAAGAUGGGAACAAUGAGCAUCUGCCUCACAGGCUUGUCGUGAGGAUUAAGUGAGAAGGUGCAGCUGCAAAGACAUCAAGCUGGACCCAUCGAGGAUUUCGGAUUCAGCCAUCAUGGGGCUGCUGCCGGGGAAGCCACUGCCCCUCCUUUCUCCUCAGCACUGGGGUUAUAAAAAAAUACCUACAAACC
rnacentral:lncRNA from 1 species